UGCCCUAUAGCUCAAUGGUGGAGCUGGCGGCUGUUAACCGCACGGUUGUAGGUUCAAGUCCUACUGGGGCAGCCA
rnacentral:tRNA from 1 species